CGCUGCCCUGUGAUUCCCUGUGAGGACUGGGUGGUGAAUACCCUGGCAAAAGCAAGGUUCAUAUGAGGGUGGUCCUUGCAGGUGAUCUCUGCCCUGGCCAGUGCCGUCAGUUCCGAGACGGUCCACCGCGCGUUGAACUCUGCUGGUGGAAGAGAGUUUGCGGUGCCAAUGUACGUGUGACCUCUGCGAUGAUGGAUUUAGCAAAGGGACCAGGAACGAUGACAGUUGGCGGGGUGUCUGGCGAGGGGCCACAAAGGGAUGAAGUUCGGAGUAAGGGCCGGAGGAAUCUUGCACUGAUGGCAGUGGUCCCCCUGGAGUGGCAGUGGGGGGCUCACCAUGUGCAGGAACCCUGGAGUCCGGCCGAGGUACCCCUGCGUACCCCUUGGCGAGUUCUUUGUUGGUAAACUUCAUCUUGGCGGGCAUCGACAAUUCUUGGACCGCCAAAGUCCUGACGUCCUCCGUGGUCCA
rnacentral:lncRNA from 1 species